GUAGGUCUUUCUUCCUUUCUAAUCUGCAGCUCAGUCAGUUGUGGACUUGGUCAAACUAUUCUGAAUUUGAAAGUUGUCAGUAAAGUGCUAAACCACAAGGACAGUUUUAGAAAGUUCCUUUUUUUUUCUGUGAUCUUUCUUUAUAUCAGCGGUGGAGUCCCUCUGCAGGUGCUUGUGCAAGUAAAGCAUUUAAUAAAAAAUCUUCCUUUUGGGGUGAUAUGCCCAACUCUAAUUGAUUGGGAAUGCAUGGCAGAAAGAAGCAGCAACACCUAAAGCAUCCCUAUUCCUACACACUGUGAGACAAAAUGCAUAAAGAGAGAGGAGAAGGCAUUUAAAGGGGCAAUGGGGGAGGAAGGGAUUAAACCUGGUGCACUGAGCCUGGUUGUAGGAAAUGGCCUCAAGUUGCACCAGGGGAGGUUUUAGGUUGGAUAUGAGGAAAACCUUCUUUACAGAAAGGGUUGUUAAGCACUGGAAUAGGCUCCCCAGGGAGGUGGUCGAGUCACCAUCCCUGGAUGUGUUUAAAAACCAUUUGGAUGUGGUGCUCAGGGCCAUGAUUUAGCGGAGAGUUGUUAGAGUUAGGGUAGUAUGGUUGGGUUGUGGUUGGACUCGAUGGUCUUUAAGGUCUUUUCCAACCUGAGCGAUUCUGUGAAUCUGUGAUUCUAUGAUCCAUGUUUUGCUGCUGAGGUAUAAAUUACUCUAUUUCAGGAGCAGAACACAUUGCUCACGUUCCACAGACAGUACUUCUCUGGGAAGUCUGGACAGCGUGGUGAACCAAGAGAAAAUAUUUUUAGAUCCUUACUACAGAUUACAAACAAGCAGUGAUGUGGGUGGUAGUGAACAUCAGAAGACUGCCAUGAGACGGGAAAGCCGAGGGAAGUUUGGCCUCAUUAAGAGUCAGAAUACGUCACAAGAGGCAAAGCAAAUGACCUGCCACAGGCUGGGGGAGUUUAGGAUAACUGAAGCUGCAUUUUGUCUUGUGAGUUCUGGAAUCCAUGAUUUUCACGUUUUGUUUAAAACAAAGCUAAACAAAACCAGUUAGCGUCUAACACUUACAGUCGCAGCCCAGUUUAGGAUCAGGAGCCCUUUGUGAAAGCUAAG
ensembl:lncRNA